rnacentral:rRNA from 1 species
CCUACGGGUGGCUGCAGUGAGGAAUAUUGGUCAAUGGACGAGAGUCUGAUCCAGCCAAGUAGCGUGAAGGAUGACUGCCCUAUGGGUUGUAAACUUCUUUUAUAUGGGAAUAAAACAGUGUAUGCAUACCCUCUUGUAUGUACCCUAUGAAUAAGGAUCGGCUAACUCCGUGUCAGCAGCCGCGGUACUACGGAGGUUCCUUGCGUUAUCCGGAUUUAUUGGGUUUAAAGGGAGCGUAGGUGGAUUGGUAAGUCAGUUGUGACAGUUUGCGGCUCAACCGUAAAAUUGCAGUUGAAACUGGCAGUCUUGAGUACAGUAGAGGUGGGCGGAAUUCGUGGUGUAGCGGUGAAAUGCUUAGAUAUCACGAAGAACUCCGAUUGCGAAGGCAGCUCACUGGACUGCAACUGACACUGAUGCUCGAAAGUGUGGGUAUCAAACAGGAUUAGAUACCCUUGUAGUC